rnacentral:rRNA from 1 species
AACGAACGCUGGCGGCAGGCCUAACACAUGCAAGUCGAGCGCCCCGCAAGGGGAGCGGCGGACGGGUGAGUAACGCGUGGGAAUUUUCCUCAAGGUACGGAACAACUCAGGGAAACUUGGGCUAAUACCGUAUGAUGUCUAGCGACCAAAGAUUUAUCGCCUUGGGAUAAGCCCGCGUCAGAUUAGGUAGUUGGUGGGGUAACGGCCUACCAAGCCUGCGAUCUGUAGCUGGUCUGAGAGGACGAUCAGCCACAUUGGGACUGAGACACGGCCCAAACUCCUACGGGAGGCAGCAGUGGGGAAUCUUGCGCAAUGGGCGAAAGCCUGACGCAGCCAUGCCGCGUGAAUGAUGAAGGUCUUAGGAUUGUAAAGUUCUUUCGCCCGUGACGAUGAUGACGGUAACGGGAGAAGAAGCCCCGGCUAACUUCGUGCCAGCAGCCGCAGUAA